rnacentral:rRNA from 1 species
UACGUAGGGGGGCAAGCGUUGUCCGGAUUUAUUGGGCGUAAAGAGCGUGUAGGCGGUUUGGUAGGUCCGCUGUGAAAACUCGAGGCUCAACCUCGAGACGCCGGUGGAAACCAUCAGACUAGAGUCCGGAAGAGGAGAGUGGAAUUCCUGGUGUAGCGGUGAAAUGCGCAGAUAUCAGGAAGAACACCCCGUGGCUAAGGCGGCUCUCUAGUACGGUACUGACGCUGAGACGCGAAAGCGUGGGGAGCGAACAGG